UUCCCUGUGGUUCAGUUGGUAGAGCAUGGUGUUUGCAACACCAGGGUUGUGGGUUUGAUUCCCACGGGGGGGG
rnacentral:tRNA from 1 species